CGCGGCCUAUCAGCUUGUUGGUGAGGUAGUGGCUCACCAAGGCGACGACGGGUAGCCGGCCUGAGAGGGCGAUCGGCCACACUGGGACUGAGACACGGCCCAGACUCCUACGGGAGGCAGCAGUGGGGAAUAUUGCACAAUGGGCGAAAGCCUGAUGCAGCGACGCCGCGUGAGGGACUAAGGCCUUCGGGUUGUAAACCUCUUUCAGUAGGGAAGAAGCGAAAGUGACGGUACCUACAGAAGAAGCACCGGCUAACUACGUGCCAGCAGCCGCGGUAAUACGUAGGGUGCGAGCGUUGUCCGGAAUUAUUGGGCGUAAAGAGCUUGUAGGCGGUUUGUCGCGUCUGCUGUGAAAAUCCGGGGCUCAACCCCGGACUUGCAGUGGGUACGGGCAGACUAGAGUGUGGUAGGGGAGACUGGAAUUCCUGGUGUAGCGGUGAAAUGCGCAGAUAUCAGGAGGAACACCGAUGGCGAAGGCAGGUCUCUGGGCCACUACUGACGCUGAGAAGCGAAAGCGUGGGGAGCGAACAGGAUUAGAUACCCUGGUAGUCCACGCCGUAAACGUUGGGAACUAGGUGUGGGUCUCAUUCCACGAGAUCCGUGCCGCAGCUAACGCAUUAAGUUCCCCGCCUGGGGAGUACGG
rnacentral:rRNA from 1 species